rnacentral:tRNA from 1 species
GGGGAUGUAGUAGAGCUGGUCAACAACGCCGGCCUGUCACGCCGGAGGACGCGGGUUCAAAUCCCGUCAUCCCCGCCA